rnacentral:lncRNA from 1 species
CACGCCGGAGGGUCGCACGCGGGUUCCAGUUGUGAUUGCUGGAGUUGUGUAUUGCCAGGAGGCUCUCCGAGAUUGGGGUCGGGUCACUGCCUCAUCCACCGGAGCGAUGGCGUUUCUCCGAAGCAUGUGGGGCGUGCUGAGUGCCCUGGGAAGGUCUGGAGCAGAGCUGUGCACCGGCUGUGGAAGUCGACUGCGCUCCCCCUUCAGUUUUGUGUAUUUACCGAGGUGGUUUUCAUCUGUCUUGGCAAGUUGUCCAAAGAAACCUGUAAGUUCUUACCUUCGAUUUUCUAAAGAACAACUACCCAUAUUUAAAGCUCAGAACCCAGAUGCAAAAACUACAGAACUAAUUAGAAGAAUUGCCCAGCGUUGGAGGGAACUUCCUGAUUCAAAGAAAAAAAUAUAUCAAGAUGCUUAUAGGGCGGAGUGGCAGGUAUAUAAAGAAGAGAUAAGCAGAUUUAAAGAACAGCUAACUCCAAGUCAGAUUAUGUCUUUGGAAAAAGAAAUCAUGGACAAACAUUUAAAAAGGAAAGCUAUGAC